UUUUUAAAAAAUAUAAAUAAACAGUUUAUUAUUAUAAGUUUUAUAAAUUUAUUAUUAAAGAAAAAAUAAAAUUAUAUUAUGGAACUGAAAAGGGGAGUUGAAAAAUUUAAUAAGUUAAAAUUUAAAAAGUAAUUUUUAUGUACCUUUUGCAUAAGGGUUUUUUAAAAAAAAUUAAAAAUUUAUACUUCCCGAAAUUAUUUUGAUCUAUUUUAUAUAAAGAUUUAAUUUGUUUUAAAAAAUUAAUUAAUGUAAAAAUAGAAAUGAAAUUUUUUUCAAAAAUAAUGAUAUCUGGUUAUUAAAAAAAGAUUUUAUAUCUAUCUAUAAAUUAAAUGGUUUUUGUUUAAUAAGUAUAGAGAAAUUAAAUAGGGAUAAGCUUGUUUAAUUUAUUAUAAUUAAGAUUUAAAAUUUAAAUAAGGAAUGACAUUUUCUUAUUUUUGUAAUAAAAAAUUAUUUAAUGUAAAAAGUAGUUUGAUUUUAUUUAGUAAUUAAUUUAAUUAUAAAUUUAUAAAAUUAUGAAAAAAUUAGUAUAAGAAAAUAAAAUAAUAAAUUUUAUUUAAAUAAAUAAUUUUUUAAAUAAAAUUAUUAAAAAGGAAUUCGGCAAAAGUUUUAUUAAGUUGGCUGUUUAUCAAAAACAUUUCAUUUUGUGUUAAUAAAAUGUAUUAUCUGCUCAAUGAAAUUUAUUAAAUUGCUGUGGUAUUUUGACUAUACGAAGGUAUUGAAAUAAGGCUUUAAAUGAGCGCUAAGAGAAUGGUAUAACAAUUUAAUUCUGUCUUUUUAAUAAAAAUAGAAGUUAACUUUUUAAGUGCGGAGGCAAAAAUAAAUUUAAGGGACAAGAAGACCCUAUGAAUUUUAUUAUUUUUAUUAUUAUUUUUAAUAAUAAAAAUAAUUAGUUGGGGCGACUAAAAAAGAAUAAGAAUCUUUUUGUAAAAUAAUUUAAAUUUUGAUCCAAUAAUAUUGAUUAAAUGAAUAAAAUACUCUAGGGAUAACAGCGUUAUAAUUUUGGAUAGCUCAUAUUGAUAAAAUUGAUUGCGACCUCGAUGUUGGAUUAGGAUACUUAUUUAAUGAAGAAGUUAAAUAAAGAAGUUUGUUCAACUUUUAAUUUCCUACAUGAUCUGAGUUCAGACCGGCGUAAGCCAGGUUGGUUUCUAUCUUUAUUUAGAAUAUUUUUUAAUUAGUACGAAAGGAAUUUUAAAAAAUAAUUAUUUAUUAAAAAAA
rnacentral:rRNA from 1 species